rnacentral:rRNA from 1 species
AUUGAACGCUGGCGGCAGGCCUAACACAUGCAAGUCGAACGAGUGGCGGACGGGUGAGUAAUGUCUGGGACACUGCCCGAUGGAGGGGGAUAACUACUGGAAACGGUAGCUAAUACCGCAUACCAUCGGAUGUGCCCAGAUGGGAUUAGCUAGUAGGUGGGGUAAUGGCUCACCUAGGCGACGAUCCCUAGCUGGUCUGAGAGGAGGACAAGCCAAACUGGGACUGGGACACGGUCCAGACUCGUACGGGAGACAGCAGUGGGGAGUAUUGCACAAUGGGCGCAAGCCUGAUGCAGCCAUGCCGCGUGUAUGAAGAAGGCCUUCGGGUUGUAAAGUACUUUCAGCGGGGAGGCGUUACCCGCAGAAGAAGCACCGGCUAACUCCGUGCCAGCAGGCGCGGUAAUAC